GACAGGAGGUGACAACGUUGUUCGGAUUUACGUGGGCGUAAAGCGUGUGUAGGCGGCUUUGCAAGUCGGAUGGUGAAUACCCACGGGCUUAAGCUUCAUGGGUCUGGCAUUCGAUACGGGCUGGCUAGGGUCCUUCAGGGGAGACUGGAAUUCCUGGUGUAGCGGUGAAAUGCGCAGAUAUCAGGAGGAACACCGGUGGCGAAGGCGGGUCUCUGGACAGUUCCUGACACUGAGGCACGAAGGCCAGGGGAGCAAACGGG
rnacentral:rRNA from 1 species